GCUGAGGUACGAAAGUAUGGGGAGCAAAACGGAUUAGAGACCCGUGUAGUCCAUACCGUAAACGAUGAGUGCCUUAGAUUGGUUAUUAAUCAGUCUAUAAAUGUAGAUUAAAGCACUCCACCUGGGGAGUACUGCCGCAAGGUUGAAACCCAAAAGUAUAGAGGGUCUUGAAAACCAGCAGUGAAGCAUGUUGUUUAAUGUGAUGAUCCGCACAACAUCUUACCACUCCUUGAAUGCUACACAGGCGUUGCAUGGCUGUCUUCAGUUCGUGU
rnacentral:rRNA from 1 species